rnacentral:guide_RNA from 1 species
UACAUACUAUCUCAUCCAUUGACGUAUAGAGUAGUGAUAUAU